GAAAUGCGAUAAGUAGUGUGAAUUGCAGAAUUCAGUGAAUCAUCGAAUCUUUGAACGCACAUUGCGCCCUUCGGUAUUCCGCUGGGCAUGCCUGUUCGAGCGUCAUCGAAAAACCUUCAAGCUCUGCUUGGCGUUGGGCGUCUGUUCGCGCCUCUUGUGCGUGCGACUCGCCUCGAAUCCAUUGGCAGCCGGCGGGUUGGCUUCGUGCGCAGCACAUGCGCGCGGCGAUGCCAGCCCGUCGCCUCCCCACCAAGUCGCAUAUCAGUCUGACCUCGGAUCAGGUAGGGAUACCCGCUGAACUUAA
rnacentral:misc_RNA from 1 species